rfam:Capsicum annuum cultivar Zunla-1 chromosome 10, whole genome shotgun sequence
AAAAAAGCUGUGGCGUAUUUCUUUUACUGCGCCUCGGUAAAACUUCAGGGAUAUAAAUAUAUAUACAUUGUUAUUGGGUGAAUCUCUUGAAAUGUUCAUGAUAGAUGGUUCAGUAAAUGAUGUUACAUAA